rnacentral:rRNA from 1 species
GACGAACGCUGGCGGCGUGCUUAACUCAUGCAAGUCGAACGGAAAGGCCCUGCUUUUGUGGGGUGCUCGAGUGGCGAACGGGUGAGUAACACGUGAGUAACCUGCCCUUGACUUUGGGAUAACUUCAGGAAACUGGGGCUAAUACCGGAUAGGAGCUCCUGCUGCAUGGUGGGGGUUGGAAAGUUUCGGCGGUUGGGGAUGGACUCGCGGCUUAUCAGCUUGUUGGUGGGGUAGUGGCUUACCAAGGCUUUGACGGGUAGCCGGCCUGAGAGGGUGACCGGCCACAUUGGGACUGAGAUACGGCCCAGACUCCUACGGGAGGCAGCAGUGGGGAAUAUUGCACAAUGGGCGGAAGCCUGAUGCAGCAACGCCGCGUGCGGGAUGACGGCCUUCGGGUUGUAAACCGCUUUCGCCUGUGACGAAGCGUGAGUGACGGUAAUGGGUAAAGAAGCACCGGCUAACUACGU